rnacentral:rRNA from 1 species
CAGGAACGCUGGCGGCAGGCUUAACACAUGCAAGUCGAACGGUUGUAGCAAUACAGCAGUGGCAGACGGGUGAGUAACACGUGGGAACCUUCCUAGGGGUACGGAACAACUCAGGGAAACUUGAGCUAAUACCGUAUACGUCCGUGAGGAGAAAGAUUUAUCGCCCUUAGACGGGCCCGCGUCGGAUUAGCUAGUUGGUGGGGUAAUGGCCUACCAAGGCGACGAUCCGUAGCUGAUCUUAGAGGAUGAUCAGCCACACUGGGACUGAGACACGGCCCAGACUCCUACGGGAGGCAGCAGUGGGGAAUCUUGGACAAUGGGCGCAAGCCUGAUCCAGCCAUGCCGCGUGAGUGAAGAAGGUCUUCGGACUGUAAAGCUCUUUUGCCAGGGACGAUAAUGACGGUACCUGGAGAAUAAGCCCCGGCAAACUUCGUGCCAGCAGCCGCCGUAAUAC